UACGGGGGGGGCAAGCGCUGUUCAGAAUUACUGGGCGUAAAGGGCUCGUAGGUGGCCAACUAAGUCAGACGUGAAAUCCCUCGGCUUAACCGGGGAACUGCGUCUGAUACUGGAUGGCUUGAGUUUGGGAGAGGGACGCGGAAUUCCAGGUGUAGCGGUGAAAUGCGUAGAUAUCUGGAGGAACACCGGUGGCGAAGGCGGCAUCCUGGACCGGCAUUGACGCUGAGGCGCGAAAGCCAGGGGAGCAAACGGG
rnacentral:rRNA from 1 species